rnacentral:lncRNA from 1 species
AAUCUUUCAAAACAAAAACACCAAUAUUUUAUUUUUUAAAAAAUAUAACUUUUUUUAAAAAGUGUAUAAAGCAUGUGGAAGAGAUUUGAUACUUUAGAAAAUCAUAAAUGUGAAAAAAAUUAUUACACUUAUCAACCAAAUCUAUGAUCUAAAAAUCAUGACAAAAAAGGAAGAAAUUGCUUGAACUAUAAUACGUUAGAUACCACCAUUUUUAAAAUACACUGACAUUUGAAUUUGGGCAUAUCUCCAAAAUAACACAUUUCUAAGUUUAUAUCACAAAAAUAGCACUUAAAAACUAAAAUGACCAAAAUAGCAUUUUAUCUUUUGAAAAUUUUAAUUUUUUUAUUUUUCAAAAUUUGAAAUCUUAUCCCAAAACCUCAUUUCUCAACUCUAAACCCUAAACGCUAAACCCUAAACUCUAAACCCUAAAUCCUAAACUCUAAACCCUAAACCCUAAACCCUAAACUAUAAACUCUAAACCCUAAACCCUAAACCUUAAACCCUAAACUCUAAACCCUAAACCCUAAAUCCUAAACCCCACCCUUUAACUCUAAACCCUAAGUUUGUGACUUUUGAUAAAACAUUAAGUGCUAUUUUUAUGACUUUUGACC